GUUCUCAGAUGCCAAGACAGAGCAGUACACACAUCCCGACUGUUUUUUGAACCAUAUUUGGUUGCUAUCUUCCUGUGUAAUUCUGUUUGUAGAAGAGGAAAUGAAGGUCUGGAAAGAGAGGGCAAUGUGCCAAGAGCAGAGAUGAUGUAGCCAGCUGUGCCUGACUACCAGUUUUUGUCUGCACUGUUUCCUUGGCAUUGGUUCCAAAUAGCUGAAGCACUAGAAGAGACAUGAUCCAGGAGCACCUACAGAACUGAGGGGAAAGCUUUGGAGAUGCAAAACGACACUGGCAGAACUUCGGCUGUGCUUUCCCCAGUAUGUCUGGACUCCAAACAGCCACUGACCUCUCGUUUUAAUUUCAAAUCCCCAGAAGCCUGCAACAGAAACCGUGGGAGCCGGGCAGUGCCACCUGUCCAUACAGCCCAACGCUUGUGUCACCUGCCUUGAAAGUUGGCUGACUUUGUCUGCGUGCUGUCAACCACUGGUAGGGUUUCCUGAGGAACUGCUCUGAUGGAUGGAGUCGGUCCAAGAUGAGCCUUCCAUUCUGCCUUUCCUGAGUGUUUCUUUUCUUUUCCCCUCCCCAUCACAAAGGGGAGAUCCAGUUGUUGUGUUUCUGGUUUCUGGGAUUGCCGUGCCAGAAGGUUCCAUAGCUGCAUCGCCGACAGAAUUCGAGCACCCACCGGCAGGCUUCUACUUCCGGCUGCAUUGUUCUUACCAAUUACCGGAGCGGCCUCGGGUCUCUCCUCGUUAAUUGCCGCGAGCAGGGAAGCUUUACCCAGUGCACAGCGUACCCAAGCAUGUAUGGAGUUUAAUGAGUCAUACUAACUCUGCACUCUAAGCAAUUAGGUAAAUCUAGCUGUUAGUUAGUGAGGCAUAAAAUAAAUUUAAUCUCUCUUCUAAAAAAUCAAUUA